UUAGUGGGUAUAAGCCAUCCAGCACAAGUGAAGAAGAUCCGGAAGCCUAUCCUGUCCUAACUACAAAAGCAUAAAGAGGGAAGUAUUUUGAACUCAACUACUAAAUGGGAAUUUAUAUUCUGGAACAUGUCGUCAAAGCCUUUUCUACUUUAAACCUUACACUAUCAGAAGCUUCCUUAAUGUAAGUACUUACUAUUUUAAAGAAAUUUAAUUUUAAACAAUUUGGGCUAUAAAUAUUACAAAAUAGUUCGACAGUGUCUAUGGAAAUAUUUUCUUCAAUAAGUAAUAAAUUGUCUAUAUUAGGCACAAAAAAGCACAAUUUAUCCAAGUAGCUCAAGAUUACAUAGGUUUUUCUGGAUAUAGAAUUUACUGUUCAAU